CAAAACAGAAUGCCUAAUGAGACAAUUGUUGAUAAUAUAUGUAGAUAUUGUUGGAGAAUUAAGGAGGCCUUAGAACUAUGGAACAAUAUAAUCCUCAACAGACAAUGUGAUUUAAUAUCACAAUCUCCAGAGACACGCAGGAGCCAUCGAUCAAAGCCGUGGGAAAAACAAGUGCAAUCAUUUGUCAGAUUAACCAUGCAAAACCGAGCCUGUUGUAAUGUUGUAUAGGUAAGAUGACACUGUAAUAUAGCAUGCAAUUUACAUUGCUGUACUCUGUGGUUGCCACUGAAAGUGAGAAAGUAUGAAAUAUUGAGUCAUAAGAAGAAAUUCAAUGCCAGCAGUCUUCAGUUUUUAAAAACAUGGCACAAUAUAUACACACAUUACAAGACAGAACAUGAAGUACUACUUACAGUGGUCAUGGAAAAGAAU